AAAGUGGAGCAAUCCAUGAGUAAAGUGGCGUACGGGUGAGUAACACGUGGAUCAUCUACCUUUUAGUGGGGAAUACCCCCGGGAAACUGGGGACAAUACCGCAUAAUCUCGUGAGAGGAAAGCAGCAAUGCGCUGAAAGAGGAGUCCGCGGCUGAUUAGCUAGUUGGCGGGGUAACGGCCCACCAAGGCGAAGAUCGGUAGCCGGCCUGAGAGGGCACACGGCCACACUGGCACUGAAACACGGGCCAGACUCCUACAGGAGGCAGCAGUGGGGAAUCUUGCACAAUGGAGGAAACUCUGAUGCAGCGACGCCGCGUGAGCGAUGAAGCCCCUCGGGGUGUAAAGCUCUUUCGACGGGAAAGAUAAUGACGGUACCCGAAGAAGAAGCUGCGGCUAACUACGUGCCAGCAGCCGCGGUAAUACGUAGGCAGCAAGCGUUGUUCGGAAUUACUGGGCGUAAAGAGUGUGUAGGCGGUGCUCUAAGUCUGUCGUGAAAUCUCCCGGCUUAACUGGGAGGGUGCGGCGGAAACUGGAGUGCUAGAGGGUGGGAGAGGAAAGCGGAAUUCCUGGUGUAGCGGUGAAAUGCGUAGAUAUCAGGAGGAACACCUGCGGUGUAGACAGCUUUCUGGACCACUUCUGACGCUGAGACACGAAAGCGUGGGUAGCAAACAGGAUUAGAUACCCUGGUAGUCCACGCCCUAAACGAUGCAUACUUGGUGUGAGCGAUUCAUUUCGUUCGUGCCGGAGCUAACGCGUUAAGUAUGCCGCCUGGGGAGUACGGUCGCAAGGCUGAAACUC
rnacentral:rRNA from 1 species